rnacentral:rRNA from 1 species
GAUGAACGCUAGCGGCAGGCUUAACACAUGCAAGUCGAGGGGCAGCGCGGGAUAGCAAUAUCCUGGCGGCGACCGGCGGAAGGGUGCGUAACGCGUGAGCGACAUGCCCGUUGCCCGGGGACAACCGGUGGAAACGCCGACUAAUCCCCGAUGGGAUAUUGUGCCGCAUGGCACGAUAUUGAAAGUUACGGCGGCGACGGAUUGGCUCGCGUCCGAUUAGCUUGUUGGCGGGGUAACGACCCACCAAGGCUGCGAUCGGUAGGGGUUCUGAGAGGAAGGCCCCCCACAAUGGGACUGAGACACGGCCCAUACUCCUACGGGAGGCAGCAGUGAGGAAUAUUGGUCAAUGGGCGGAAGCCUGAACCAGCCAUGCCGCGUGCGGGAAGGAGGCCCUAUGGGCUGUGAACCGCUUUUGCCUGGGGGCAAUAAGGGCGUCGCGCACGUCCGAUGAGAGUACCAGGCGAAUAAGCAUCGGCUAACUCCGUG